rnacentral:rRNA from 1 species
UGAAUACGAGAUGCUACGGCAUUGAAGCAGUGUAUGUCAUACUUCCAAGAAAAGCUCGCAAUGUCAUAAACAUUUAAUGCCUGUACCAUAACCGACACAGGUGGGUAGGUAGAGUAUACUAAGGGGCGCGAGAUAACUCUCUCUAAGGAACUCGGCAAAAUGACUCCGUAACUUCGGGAGAAGGAGUGCCUUAUUUAUAAGGUUGCAAUAACAAGAUCCAAGCAACUGUUUAUCAAAAACACAGGUCUCCGCUAAGUCGUAAGACGAUGUAUGGGGACUGACGCCUGCCCAGUGCCAGAAGGUUAAAGAAGUUGGUUAGCAUUGCGAAGCUGAUGACUGAAGCCCUGGUGAACGGCGGCCGUAACAAUAACGGUCCUAAGGUAGCGAAAUUCCUUGUCGGGUAAGUUCCGACCCGCACGAAAGGCGUAAUGAUUUGGAUACUGUCUCGGAGAGGGGCUCGGUGAAAUAGACUUGUCUGUGAAGAUGCGGACUACCUGCACCUGGACAGAAAGACCCUAUGAAGCCUUACUGUAACUUGAGAUUGAAAUUGGACUUCAUUUGCGCAGUAUAGGUGGGAGACGUUGGAAGUAUUCUUGCGGGAAUACUGGAGUCAUCAGUGAGAUACCACUCUUGUAAUGUUAGAUUUCUAACUUUGUAUCAUUAUCUGGUCAAAGAACAGUCUCAGGCGGGCAGUUUGACUGGGGCGGUCGCCUCCCAAAUGGUAACGGAGGCGCACAAAGGUUUCCUCUGAACGUGUAGAAAUCGUAUCUAGAGUGUAAAGGCAUAAGGAAGCUUGACUGUGAGACCUACAAGUCGAGCAGGGACGAAAGUCGGUCUUAGUGAUCUGACGGUGCUGAGUGGAAAGGCCGUCACUCAACGGAUAAAAGUUACUCUAGGAUAACAGGCUGAUCUCCCCCAAGAGUUCACAUCGACGGGGAGGUUUGGCACCUCGAUGUCGGCUCAUCGCAUCCUGGGGCGGUAGUACGUCCCAAGGGUUGGGCUGUUCGCCCAAAAGCGGUACGCGAGCUGGGUUCAGAACGUCGUGAGACAGUUCGGUCCAUAUCCGGUGUAGGCGUUAGAAUAUUGAGAGGAGCCUUCUUUAGUACGAGAGGACCGAGAAGGACAUACCUCUGGUGUACCAGUUAUCGUGCCAACGGUAAACGCUGGGUAGCUAUGUAUGGAGUGGAUAACCGCUGAAAGCAUCUAAGUGGGAAGCCCACCUCAAGAUAAGUAUUCUCAC